AUUGAACGCUGGCGGCAGGCCUAACACAUGCAAGUCGAACGAGUGGCGGACGGGUGAGUAAUGUCUGGGAAACUGCCUGAUGGAGGGGGAUAACUACUGGAAACGGUAGCUAAUACCGCAUACCAUCGGAUGUGCCCAGAUGGGAUUAGCUGGUAGGUGGGGUAAAGGCUCACAUAGGCGACGAUCCCUCGCUGGUCUGAGAGGAUGACCAGCCACACUGGAACUGAGACACGGUCCAGACUCCUACGAGAGGCAGAAGUGGGGAAUAUUGCACAAUGGGCGCAAGCCUGAUGCAGCCAUGCCGCGUGUAUGAAGAAGGCCUUCGGGUUGUAAAGUACUUUCAGCGAGGAGGCGUUACCCGCAGAAGAAGCACCGGCUAACUCCGUGCCAGCAGCCGCGGUAAUAC
rnacentral:rRNA from 1 species